rnacentral:rRNA from 1 species
GACGAACCGUGCGAACGUUGUUCGGAUUCAUUGGGCUUAAAGGGCGCGUAGGCGGAUGCUCAAGUCGGGGGUGAAAUCCCACAGCCCAACUGUGGAAGUGCCCCCGAUACUGGGCGUCUGGAGGGAGGUAGGGGUGUGUGGAACUUCCGGUGGAGCGGUGAAAUGCGUAGAUAUCGGAAGGAACGCCGGUGGCGAAAGCGACGCACUGGACCUCUUCUGACGCUGAGGCGCGAAAGCCAGGGGAGCAAACGGGAUUAGAUACCCCCGUAGUCC